GAUGAACGCUGGCGGCGUGCCUAAUACAUGCAAGUCGAGCGAACGGACGAGAAGCUUGCUUUUCUGAUGUUAGCGGCGGACGGGUGAGUAACACGUGGAUAACCUACCUAUAAGACUGGGAUAACUUCGGGAAACCGGAGCUAAUACCGGAUAAUAUUUUGAACCGCAUGGUUCAAAAGUGAAAGACGGUCUUGCUGUCACUUAUAGAUGGAUCCGCGCUGCAUUAGCUAGUUGGUAAGGUAACGGCUUACCAAGGCAACGAUGCAUAGCCGACCUGAGAGGGGGACAGGCCACACUGGAACUGAGACACGGUCCAGACUCCUACGGGAGGCAGCAGUAGGGAAUCUUCCGCAAUGGGCGAAAGCCUGACGGAGCAACGCCGCGUGAGUGAUGAAGGUCUUCGGAUCGUAAAACUCUGUUAUUAGGGAAGAACAUAUGUGUAAGUACCUGUGCACAUCUUGACGGUACCUAAUCAGAAAGCCACGGCUAACUACGUG
rnacentral:rRNA from 1 species